rnacentral:lncRNA from 1 species
UCACUCUCAAUCAGAGAGGGGCAAAUCCCAUCUUGAUUGACCAUGUCUCAUAGCAUGCUUCUUGACAAACCCGAAAGCCACCUUUAUAACUACCCUGUUACGGCGUAGCGUUUGAUAGCCCCUAAGUAGGUCGAUCCACAUCUAGAAUACAUGCGACAAUCUCAGGUCUAAGGACAAAGCGUAUAUGUUGUUUAAAGAGAGAACUACUUCUCGUGUUGGGUCAGUCCUAGCACAUGUCUCCACAUGUGUCCACAUUAUUAGCUCAACAUCUCCAUGUCCAUGACUUGUGAAACAUAGUCAUCAACUAAUACAUGUGCUAGUCUAAUAUUCAUGUGUGUCCUCACAUGAACUCCGACUAGGGACAACUUUAGAAUAACCAUACAAGUAAAGAGUUUCACAUACAAUUCACAUAAUUGCAAAUCAAUUCAAGUAGCCUUUAAUGGAUAUUCAACGAACACAAUAUACAAAUCAUGGAUACAAAUGGAAUAUCAUCAUCUCUAUGAUUGCCUCUAGGGCAUACCUCCAACAGUCUCCC